rnacentral:tRNA from 1 species
UAGCUCAGUGGUAGAGCACAUGCCUAGCAUGCAUGAGUCCCUGAGUUUGAUCCCCAG